UUAAAUUUAUUAAUAUUUGCAUAUAAAAAAAUCUAUAUUUACAUAAAAUUACAAAUAUAUUUUAUAUAAAUUUUAAUAAAAAAAAAGUUAAAAUGCAUUCAUAGAUAUGUAAAUGCAAGUCUAAUAGUAUAACAUUUUAUCAAUAUUAUCAGUUACAUUAAAUAUAUAAACAUAAAAUACAGUUUCAAAAUUUAUUAAAAAUUGAGACUUAAAAUAAAUCAUAAAAUAUAAAACAGCCUGCGAUAUAUUUGGCAUUUAAAGCCUGACUUAUAUCACAAUGGAUAUAAUAUAUGCAUAUACUUGCGUAACUGAUAUAGGAAGCCCAAUGAAUUAAUAAUAGAUAUAAAUAAUUAUCUUAAAACUAUUUUGAACACAGCCAAUGACACAUUAGUGACACAUGAUCAUAGAUUAUAUGUGACAUAAGUUACACAUGAAUAAUAAAUUCAUUGUUAAAAAUCUGGAAGAGUUUAUGGAACAUCAUAAUUAGAAUUUUUCUUUUUCUUUAAAAUAUACUCAUCUUAUAAUUUAAUCUUUAUCUUAUUGAAGUAAUGCUGAUGAUGGAGAUGGAGGAUAUUGAAAUUGAGCGAAAUGAGAUGAGGGACCUAUAACUGCUAAUAUCGGACA